GUGCUCUCUUUGGCAGCACAUAUACUAAAAUCGGAACAACACAGAGAAGAUUAGCAUGGCCCCUGUGCAGGGGUGACUUGCAAAUUUGUGAAAUAUUCCAUAUUUCU
ensembl:snRNA U6 U6 spliceosomal RNA